GGGAUGACACAGUAGGAUAAGCUAAGCACACUGUUGGUUAUGUGUGCCCAAGCAUUGAGGCAGUCAAAGUAGGCAAAUCCGCUUUGAUAAUGCUGGGAGGUGAUGGGGAGCGAAAUUUAGUAGCGAAGUAGCUGAUUUCACACUGUCAAGAAAAGUCUCUAUCGAGGUUAAAGGUACCCGUACCGCAAACCGACACAGGUGGGUGAGGAGAGUAUCCUAAGGCCAGCGAGAGAACUGUUGUUAAGGAACUCGGCAAAAUGACCCCGUAACU
rnacentral:rRNA from 1 species